rnacentral:tRNA from 2 species
AGCCCUGUGGUCUAGUGGUCAAGGAUAUGGGACUCUGGAUCCCAUGGCCCAGGUUCGAAUCCUGGCAGGGCUA